UACGUAAGGGGCAAGCGUUGUCCGGAAUCAUUGGGCGUAAAGCGCGCGUAGGCGGCCCGGUAAGUCCGCUGUAAAAGUCCAGGGCUCAACCCUGGAAAGCCGGUGGAUACUGUCGGGCUAGAGUCCGGAAGAGGAGAAUGGAAUUCCUGGUGUAGCGGUGAAAUGCGCAGAUAUCAGGAAGAACACCCGUGGCGAAGGCGGUUCUCUGGGACGGUACUGACGCUGAGACGCGAAAGCGUGGGGAGCGAACAGG
rnacentral:rRNA from 1 species